rnacentral:rRNA from 1 species
CUUGGUCAUUUAGAGGAAGUAAAAGUCGUAACAAGGUUUCCGUAGGUGAACCUGCGGAAGGAUCAUUAUCGAAAUUAUUGGUGAGGGUUGUAGCUGGCCUUUCGAGGCAUGUGCACGCUCGAGCCCUUAAUCCACUUUACACCUGUGCACUUAAUGUAGGUCGCCCUUAGAAAAGGUGACCUAUGUCUUAUCAUCAACCCAUCGUAUGUCUCAUAGAAUGUAAUCGAUAUCCUCGCCCUAAAAAAGCGUUGAUAAACUUAUACAACUUUCAACAACGGAUCUCUUGGCUCUCGCAUCGAUGAAGAACGCAGCGAAAUGCGAUAAGUAAUGUGAAUUGCAGAUUUUCAGUGAAUCAUCGAAUCUUUGAACGCACCUUGCGCUCCUUGGUAUUCCGAGGAGCAUGCCUGUUUGAGUGCCAUUAAAUUCUCAACUCCAAGGGUUUCACGACCUUUCGGAGAUUGGACUUGGAGGUGCUGGCCGCAUAUUGGUCGGCUCCUCUCAAAUGCAUCAGCGGAAUUCAACCUUUGGCUUCCGGAUGUCAGUGUGAUAAUCAUGUUGCGCUGUCGUUUGAUCCCUCAGAGUCCGCUUAUAAUGGUCUUCGGACAAAAUCAUCAUCAAAUUUGACCUCAAAUCAGGUAGGACUACCCGCUGAACUUAAGCAUAUCAAUAAGCGGAGGA